rnacentral:rRNA from 1 species
UCCAGACUCCUACGGGAGGCAGCAGUGAGGAAUAUUGGUCAAUGGGCUUACGCCUGAACCAGCCAAGUCGCGUGAGGGAAGACUGCCCUAUGGGUUGUAAACCUCUUUUGUCAGGGAGCAACGCCGGCUACGUGUAGCCGGACUGAGAGUACCUGAAGAAAAAGCAUCGGCUAACUCCGUGCCAGCAGCCGCGGUAAUACGGAGGAUGCGAGCGUUAUCCGGAUUUAUUGGGUUUAAAGGGUGCGCAGGCGGAAUGUCAAGUCAGCGGUAAAAUUUCGGGGCUCAACCCCGUCGUGCCGUUGAAACUGGCGUUCUUGAGUGAGCGAGAAGUAUGCGGAAUGCGUGGUGUAGCGGUGAAAUGCAUAGAUAUCACGCAGAACUCCGAUUGCGAAGGCAGCGUACCGGCGCCCAACUGACGCUGAAGCACGAAGGCGUGGGUAUCGAACAGGAUUAGAUACCCCAGUAGUC